CUGCCGUCAUGCAUGGAGACAACAGGGCACGAGAGAACUCAGUGUCCUGGGGAGAGGCAGCAUGUAUGGCCAGAGCAUCUGUGAGAAGAGCAGAUGGUACAGCUGAGGCUGGACAGCGGGCCAGGGCAGAACCCGCCGGACCUUCAGAAUGUAACAUCCUGGUGGUCGGGGAUUUUUGUCAGUUUUGUUCACUGAUGAUCCCGAAGUUCCUAGAAGAGCCCCUGGCAGAACAGUGGAUGUUCGGCAAACGCUCACUUGGGCAGACGGAUGGAGGAAUGGAUGGAUGGAUGGACGGACGGACGGACGGAUGGACUGACGCCUGCCUUUGACCUCUAUUGUGUCUGUGCUACCGUUCAUACUGGCUGCAAUUUCUGAGCGUGGAAAACCUGUGUUCUUUCCCAGCCUGAGGAAACAGCUCUGCAACAGGCUUUUGUGUCCCCAUGGCAGGAGAGAAAGUUUGCAGGCGAAAGGUCACUGCGAGAGACUGGCCGGCAGGCUCUCAGUCAGUUUCAUUUUCUCCCUGGUCACGGUCGAGACUAGAUUUCCCAGACUCCCUGCAGGUAGGUGUGGCCAACUCACUGGUUCCAGCCCAG
rnacentral:lncRNA from 1 species